GACGAACGCUGGCGGCGUGCUUAACACAUGCAAGUCGAACGACGAAGCCCAGCUUGCUGGGUGGAUUAGUGGCGAACGGGUGAGUAACACGUGGGCAACCUGCCCCAAACUCUGGGAUAACUCCUCGAAAGAGGUGCUAAUACCGGAUACGAACUAGACAGACAUCUGUACUAGUUGGAAAGUUUUUCGGUUUGGGAUGGGCCCGCGGCCUAUCAGCUUGUUGGUGAGGUAACGGCUCACCAAGGCUACGACGGGUAACCGGCCUGAGAGGGGGACCGGUCACACUGGGACUGAGACACGGCCCAGACUCCUACGGGAGGCAGCAGUGGGGAAUAUUGCGCAAUGGGCGAAAGCCUGACGCAGCGACGCCGCGUGAGGGAUGAAGGUCUUCGGAUCGUAAACCUCCUUCAGUAGGGACGAAGCGAAAGUGACGGUACCUAAAGAAGAAGCACCGGCUAACUACGUGCCAGCCGCCGCCGUAA
rnacentral:rRNA from 1 species